UACGUAGGGUGCGAGCGUUGUCCGGAAUUAUUGGGCGUAAAGGGCUCGUAGGCGGUCUGUUGCGUCGGUAGUGAAAACUCAGGGCUUAACCCUGAGCCUGCUUCCGAUACGGGCAGACUAGAGGUAGGUAGGGGAGAAUGGAAUUCCCGGUGUAGCGGUGAAAUGCGCAGAUAUCGGGAGGAACACCGGUGGCGAAGGCGGUUCUCUGGGCCUUACCUGACGCUGAGGAGCGAAAGCGUGGGGAGCGAACAGG
rnacentral:rRNA from 1 species